GACGAACGCUGGCGGCGUGCUUAACACAUGCAAGUCGAACGGAAAGGCCCUGCUUUUGUGGGGUGCUCGAGUGGCGAACGGGUGAGUAACACGUGAGUAACCUGCCCUUGACUUUGGGAUAACUUCAGGAAACUGGUGCUAAUACCGGAUAGGAGCUCCUGCUGCAUGGUGGGGGUUGGAAAGUUUCGGCGGUUGGGGAUGGACUCGCGGCUUAUCAGCUUGUUGGUGGGGUAGUGGCUUACCAAGGCUUUGACGGGUAGCCGGCCUGAGAGGGUGACCGGCCACAUUGGGACUGAGAUACGGCCCAGACUCCUACGGGAGGCAGCAGUGGGGAAUAUUGCACAAUGGGCGGAAGCCUGAUGCAGCAACGCCGCGUGCGGGAUGACGGCCUUCGGGUUGUAAACCGCUUUCGCCUGUGACGAAGCGUGAGUGACGGUAAUGGGUAAAGAAGCACCGGCUAACUACGUG
rnacentral:rRNA from 1 species